UGAAUUGAACCGGCAGAUUUAUCAAGUUGCGAAAUAGAAUUGGGAGCUUAAUCCAAAUAUGUCCGAUUUGGAGCCGGAAAAUGAAGAAAAGGUGGCGGAACAGGAGCAGCCUGCGGAAAUGGAUCCCGCCAAACUGCUGGAGACCACCGCCGCUCUUCAGGAGGACGAGGAUCUGGCAAAUAUCGUGACAGCCGAGGAAUAUUUGAUGUGCAAGGAUGUGGUCCUCUUGGAAUACGAAAAACAAAUGUUUCUCGAUCAGGUUCAGGCGGAUGGUCUUCUAGUUUGCGCCAAGGGCCUGAGUUACGAACGCGUUUUGAUCAAUAUUUUAAAAGCCUACAGCGACUCGGGGAAUCUGGUACUCGUGAUCAACAGUUCCGACUGGGAGGAGAAGUAUUACAAGUCCAAAAUGGAACCCAAAUAUGUCCACGAGGUGGCCAAUACGGCUACAGAAAGAGAGCGAGUUUAUGUGGAAGGUGGCUUGCAGUUCAUCAGCACCCGUAUCCUGGUUGUGGAUCUGCUGAAGCAGCGCAUUCCCAUCGAGCUGAUCAGCGGGAUUAUUGUCCUGCGGGCGCACACCAUCAUCGAGAGUUGCCAGGAGGCGUUCGCAUUGCGAUUGUACCGGCAAAAGAAUAAAACCGGCUUCGUGAAAGCAUUCUCCAGCAGUCCGGAGGCCUUCACCAUUGGCUACUCGCAUGUGGAGCGCACCAUGCGCAAUCUGUUCGUGAAACAUUUGUACAUUUGGCCUCGAUUUCAUGCCACCGUUCGUGGCGCCCUGCAGCCGUGGCAGACACAAACAAUCGAGCUGCAUGUGCCGCUCAGCCAGAGCAUGACCGCGAUUCAAACCCACAUCCUGGACAUAAUGAACUUUCUGGUGCGGGAAAUCAAGCGGAUUAAUCGCACUGUUGACAUGGAUGCGGUCACCGUGGAGAACUGUGUGACCAAGAAGUUUCACAAAAUAUUGCAGGCCCAGCUGGAUUGCAUCUGGCAUCAGCUCAAUUCACAGACCAAGUUAAUUGUGGCCGAUCUCAAGAUUCUGCGCAGUCUGAUGAUCUCGACCAUGUACCACGAUGCCGUCAGUGCAUAUGCCUUGAUGAAACGCUAUCGGAGCACGGAAUAUGCCCUGAGUAAUUCAGGUUGGACUUUACUGGAUGCCGCCGAGCAGAUCUUUAAGCUUUCGAAACAGCGUGUUUUCAAUGGACAGCAGGAAUUUGAGCCCGAACCGUGUCCCAAAUGGCAGGCUCUCACGGAUCUGCUCACCCAGGAUAUACCCGGUGAUAUGCAUCGCUGUAGGCGAACGGAACAGCCAAAAGUAUUGAUCCUCUGCCAGGAUGCACGCACGUGCCAUCAGUUGAAACAAUAUCUCACGCAAGGUGGGCCACGUUUUCUGCUCCAACAAGCACUGCAUCAUGAAGUGCCCGUGGGCAAACUGAGCGAUAAGUACGCCAAAGAGAGCCAAGGCAGCCGGGAAGCCCCAUCCUCCGCAAUGAAGAAGCCCCUUAAAGAGGAGGCUGCUAGUUCUCAAACAUCUGCCGCUGCUGCUGCAGCUUCUGCUGCUGGUUUAGAUGAACUCGCUCAGCUUUUAAGCGAAUCGGAGGCAGAGGGGCAGCACUUUGAGGAGAGCUACAUGCUAACCAUGACACAGCGGAUGGUGCAGCAGGAGCCUCUAUUGGACAUUAAAUCCGAUCCAGAUGUCUCCAUUUUUGAAACCAUACCAGAACUGGAGCAAUUUGAUGUGACAGCGGCACUGGCGGCGGUUCCGCAUCAGCCGUACAUCUGUCUGCAGACCUUCAAAACGGAAUCAGAGGGAGCGAUGGCACUGGAGCACAUGCUGGAGCAACUGCAGCCGCACUAUGUGGUCAUGUACAAUACGAAUGUGACCGCCAUACGUCAGCUGGAGGUUUUUGAAGCCAGGCGUCGGCUGCCGCCUGCAGAUCGGCUGAAGGUUUAUUUUCUAAUCCAUGCACGCACGGUGGAGGAGCAGGCCUAUCUGACCAGUUUGCGUCGCGAGAAAGCCGCCUUUGAGUUGAUUAUCGAUACCAAAAGUAAAAUGGUGAUACCCGAGUACCAGGACGGCAAGACCGAUGAAGCCUUCUUGCUCUUCAAAAACUAUGAUGAUGAAUUGGCGGGGGAAAAUGCGAAGAGCCGCCAGGCAGGUGGCCAGGUAUCGCAGGCACCCAAAGAAACGCCCAAAGUUAUUGUGGAUAUGCGUGAAUUCCGCUCGGAUUUGCCGUGCUUGAUUCACAAGCGCGGCCUGGAAGUGCUGCCCCUGACCAUUACGAUUGGCGAUUAUAUACUUACGCCGGAUGUUUGUGUGGAACGCAAGUCGAUUUCGGAUUUAAUUGGUUCUCUGAACUCGGGCAGAUUGUACAACCAGUGUGUGCAGAUGCAACGCCACUAUGCGAAGCCCAUUUUACUGAUCGAGUUCGAUCAGAAUAAGCCGUUCCAUCUGCAGGGUAAAUUCAUGCUCUCACAGCAGACGAGCAUGGCCAAUGCGGAUAUAGUGCAGAAGUUGCAACUGCUAACGCUGCACUUCCCAAGGCUGCGACUCAUUUGGUCACCCAGUCCGUAUGCCACCGCUCAGCUUUUUGAGGAAUUGAAGCUGGGCAAACCAGAACCGGAUCCCCAAAAGGCCGUGGCCGUGGGCAGUGACGAGCCAACGGCCGGCGAGCAAUUGCAUUUCAACAGCGGCAUCUACGAUUUCCUGCUACGUCUGCCCGGCGUUCAAACGCGCAACAUACACGGUCUACUCCGGAAGGGUGGCAGCCUGCGGCAGUUGUUGCUGCGCAGCCAAAAGGAACUGGAGGAGCUGCUGCAGUCGCAGGAGAGCGCCAAGCUGCUGUACGACAUACUGCAUGUGGCCCAUUUGCCGGAGAAGGACGAGGUGGCCGGCUCGACGGCGCUGCUGGCAGCUGGCAAGCAAUUUGGCGCCGGAUCGCAUAAUCGCUUCAGGAAGGCGGCAGCCGAAUCGCGAAGGGGUCGUCGCUAAACUGAAUGGAGGUGGAAUACAAAUAGGCUGCUGUUUGCAGGACAUCAAAAGGAUAACAUUCAAGGCAUAAAAGUGGGAAAAGCAAAAACUGAUGGACAACCAAGACAGCCAGUAGUCUCUGCACCAAAGUGCCGAGCAAACAGUCAGACAGGCAAAUUAUGGAAAUUUUUUAAACGUUGCAAUUAAGACGACUAGGGAAUGGGAUGCAGAUGCGGAUGCGGAUGCGGAUGAUGAGGUGACUGUCUGGCCGGCAGACAGCGUUGACCGUUGGGAGGCGACAACUGCGACAGCAAACUGCAGCCGUAGCCUUUGGGAUGAGCGCUUAAAAAUCAAUUUUCAAUAAAUUUUUAAUUACCCCCGCGCACUGGACGUCUGUACCUGUCCAUCCCAUAGGAUUUCCCUUCAACAGCACACCUGCAACAUUAACAGCCAGUCCGUGCGAUUUACAAGCAGCUUUAAACUGCAUUUUUCAUCCACAAUUAACCUGCAAAGCAGCCCCAAACUAAGAUACUUUCCCUGUUUGGCCGCAACAAACGCUUCAAUCAAUGGACAAUGGGGAAACCUGAACCCGAAUGCCCCCAAACAUUUGGCUCCUCUCGUUUUUUUUUUUUUUUUUUGCUUUUUUUUUUGUUUACCCACCCACAAUGACAAUGUUAAUUUUCUCUCAACGAAACCCAAAUGGAUCUUUGAUUUGUUGCAAUUUUCUUUUAUAUUCUAGUGCGGCUUGUUGUUUGUUUUUGUUCAGGGAUUUCGAGGGGCUCCGAAAAAAAAUAAUCCAAUGCCGAAAGGCUUAAUUCGGCGGAUUUCGGGAGGUGUAAUUGAUUGUUGUACGUGGGAAUUCAGGAAACUGGCCAUUUUAAUGGAUUCAGGCACUAUGAAUUUUUUUUGCCAAUAAAGAUACUUUUGGUUCGUAUUUUUCCCAUUUGUAUGGAACAAUACAAAAAACAAUUGUAAACUAACGAUAUUUAAGAUUUGCAUUAUUUGCUUUACUUGCUUUACAUAAAACCAAAUGAAGUUCUUGGCAAACUUUGCUAAGCAAACAAUUUCGCAUUAUUCAUGUUUAUUUCGAGCCAUUAAUAAUCUUCAUUAAUUAGUUCAAAACCAGCACUUGUACACAAGUAUGCUCAAAGAAAACUUAAAGUGGGCAAAUUAAGCAAGACAAACAAAUUCAGUCGAGUGCAAAAUGAAAUUAGCUGAAAUUCCGUGAAUUUAAUUGAACAAAGUUGUCUCGACUAAUUCGAUAAUUGAUUGGAAUUAAUUGCAAACUUUUUGCAUACUUCAUUCAUGGAAUCCCCCCGCUCAAAUCCAAUACAAAGUCCAUUAUGGAUUGCCAAUGGCCGGCAAAUUAAAAGCCGCAUCGUUAACCGCAGGCAUCAUUAAAUAUUGGCAGAAAUUGAUAGAGAAAGUGCCUGAAAUUGGCAGUUUUGUACUUGUUAUAGGGGGCAAAUUAAACGUUAGAAAGCCAAAAAUUCAAUUUAAAAUACUUUCGGUACUUAAAGUUAGUUUAACAUUUAAUCCCAAGCAAACAAAAUAAAAUCAUUUAUAACUACUUUAAGCAAUAAUAUCCUAAAGCAAGAAUUUGAUUUGGCAUUCUGGAAGUCGCACUUUCAUUAGUCAAAGUCAAAGGCAAAAGGGACCUUAUUUCUGGGGCGUUUUUCAUCGAUUUUUGCUUAAUUUCAUUAGGGCAGGACGAAACUUGUUGGGAAAUUUGACACAUUUCAAGGCCCCCUGGCAUAAGUAAUGCCUUUCGCUGUCAAGAAAGCGAGCAAAAUGCAUCUAAGAAUUUAUGGCAGCCCCACCACACAACAAGUGCACAAAAAUACCUUUAUGUGAAUGUGUGGAAUUUCACUGCUCAAAAAAUAAAUAAUUAAUCCUAAAAACAAAUAGUUUUAGAAUCCAAUACAUAAGUUUAAGUUU